AUGGGUGAUGGCGCCGCCUCCCACCCCGCCCCGCGCUACAACGGCGAGGACCGCAUCAGCGCCCUCCCCAAUGACCUCCUCGGCGACAUCAUCACCCGCCUUCCCUUCAUGGAUGCUGCACGCACUGCCGCCUUCGCCUCCCAUUGGCGUCAGAUCUGGCGCUCCACCCCGCUCGUCCUGCGCGAUGCCGACGCCCACCUCUCCGAGGCCACGCACGUCGCCACCGUCGCCAGGGCCCUUGCCGACCACCCGGGGCCCUUCCACACCGUGAGCCUCUUCGGCUGCAGGGCCGCCUCCCUGGAUCUCGAGCUCCCAGAGUGGCCGCGCCUCCUCACCACCAAGCGCAUCGAGAACCUCUGCUUCCAUAACAAGCAAACCCAGCUCCAGACCACCUUGUCGCCCCUUCCUGCCGACAUCCUCUGUUGCGGCUCGCUCCAGUCCCUCUCACUGGCCUUCUGGAAGAUCCCUGACGACCUCCUACUCGCCGCCAACGCCUUCCCCAAUCUCCGGAAGCUCGGAUUGGUACGAAAUGACAUGAGCGACCAGUACAUCCACCGCUUGCUCGUUUCCAGCCCCAUUCUGGAGUACCUUGGGCUCGUGCUCAAUGGUAAGCCCGAGCGCGUCCAUGUCUGCAGCCAAAGCCUCCGGUGCUUGUUCCUUGGGCUAUCCAAGGUGGAGGAGUUCACCGUGGUGGACACCCCACUCUUGGAGCGCAUCAUGUUCUUCAAGCCGCCUUAUGGUGGAACCGAUUGCGUGAGGUUCAGGAUUGCUUCGGCACCCAAGCUGCGGGUGAUUGGCUACCUGGAGCCAAGAAUUCACAAGCUGCAGAUCGGUGGCAGCAUCAUCAAACCUGACACAAUGGCGAGCCCAGGAACCGUGGUUCCUGGCGUCGAGGUAUUGGCCCUGAAGGUGAACUUUGGUGUCUUUUGGGAGGUGAAGAUGUUGGCCAGCUUUCUAAGAUGCUUCCCCAAUGUUGGCACGCUGCACAUCGAGUCUGUACAACCUGAUCCAUCAGUGGCCGCUCAUGAACCCACCGGAGAGCAGCAUGCUAGGUUCUGGAAGGAGGCCAGUCCAGUCGAAAGCUUGAGAUUACACAUCAGGAGCUUGUUCAUCCACAAAUUUCAAGGGGAUCAAAAUGAAUUCGAAUUCCUCAAGUACGUGGCCUUGAAUGCGCGGGAGCUGCGAGCAUUGCUGGUCGUGUCGCCUGACAAAAAAAUUGCUUUGGCACUGGCAGAUGAGGUGAAUGAGAUGGCAAACAAAUUGGACCGUCCACUAUUUCAGCCAUGGACUGCUAGAGGGUUGUUGGAGUCACCUAGAGUGCGCAAUGUUUUGAUCUCUGCUAAAGUACCCUUUCUCGGUGUCCGUGACCCUUUUCGCUGGUGA
rnacentral:rRNA from 1 species